rnacentral:rRNA from 1 species
UGGGUUUGACAUGUGCGUGUUACUGAGGUGAAAGCCGAGGGACCAUAUCUUCGGAUGUGGAGCGUACACAGGUGCUGCAUGGCUGUCGUCAGCUCGUGUCGUGAGAUGUUGGGUUAAGUCCCGCAACGAGCGCAACCCUGCAUUCAGUUGCCAACGGUAAGGCCGGGCACUCUGGAUGGACUGCCGGCGACAAGCCGGAGGAAGGGUGGGGAUGACGUCAAGUCAUCAUCGGCCCUUAUGUCCAGGGCGACACACGUGCUACAAUGGCCGGCACAGCGGGAAGCGAGGGGCGACCUUGAGCGGAUCCCUCAAAGCCGGUCUCAGUUCGGAUUGCAGUCUGCAACUCGACUGCAUGAAGUUGGAAUCGCUAGUAAUCGUGGAUCAGCCAAGCCGCGGUGAAUACGUUCCCGGGCCUU